GACGAACGCUGGCGGCGUGCUUAACACAUGCAAGUCGAACGAAGAGCGACGGAAGCUUGCUUCUAUCAAUCUUAGUGGCGAACGGGUGAGUCACGCGUAAUCAACCUGCCCUUCAGAGGGGGACAACAGUUGGAAACGACUGCUAAUACCGCAUACGAUCUAAUCUCGGCAUCGAGGAUGGAUGAAAGGUGGCCUCUACAUGUAAGCUAUCACUGAAGGAGGGGAUUGCGUCUGAUUAGCUAGUUGGAGGGGUAACGGCCCACCAAGGCGAUGAUCAGUAGCCGGUCUGAGAGGAUGAACGGCCACAUUGGGACUGAGACACGGCCCAGACUCCUACGGGAGGCAGCAGUGGGGAAUCUUCCGCAAUGGACGAAAGUCUGACGGAGCAACGCCGCGUGAGUGAUGACGGCCUUCGGGUUGUAAAGCUCUGUUAAUCGGGACGAAAGGCCUUCUUGCGAAUAGUGAGAAGGAUUGACGGUACCGGAAUAGAAAGCCACGGCUAACUACGUG
rnacentral:rRNA from 1 species